rnacentral:rRNA from 1 species
UACGUAGGGGGCAAGCGUUGUCCGGAUUUAUUGGGCGUAAAGCGCUCGCAGGUGGUUCAUUGCGUCGUGCGUGAAAGACCCCGGCUCAACUGGGGAGGGUCGUGCGAAACGGGUGAACUAGAGGCCAGUAGGGGGAUGUGGAAUUCCGGGUGUAGUGGUGGAAUGCGUAGAGAUCCGGAGGAACACCAGCGGCGAAGGCGGCAUCCUGGACUGGUCCUGACACUCAGGAGCGAAAGCGUGGGGAGCGAGUCCGG